UACGGAGGGGGCUAGCGUUGUUCGGAAUUACUGGGCGUAAAGCGCACGUAGGCGGCUUUGUAAGUUAGAGGUGAAAGCCCGGGGCUCAACCCCGGAAUUGCCUUUAAGACUGCAUCGCUAGAAUUGUGGAGAGGUAAGUGGAAUUCCGAGUGUAGAGGUGUAAUUCGUAGAUAUUCGGAAGAACACCAGUGGCGAAGGCGACUUACUGGACACAUAUUGACGCUGAGGUGCGAAAGCGUGGGGAGCAAACAGG
rnacentral:rRNA from 1 species